GACGAACGCUGGCGGCGUGCUUAACACAUGCAAGUCGAGCGGUAAGGCCCUUUCGGGGUACGACGAGCGGCGAACGGGUGGAGUAACAACGUGGGUGGACCUCGCCCUUACGCUCUGGGAGUAAGCCUCGGGAAACGUAGGGUCGUAAUACCGGAUAUGACUCCAUGACGCAUGUUGGUGGGGUGGGAAAGCCUUGUGCGGCGUAGGGAGUGGGCCCGGCCGGCCUAUCA
rnacentral:rRNA from 1 species